CAGCCGCCGCUGUAAUACAUAGGGUACAAGCGUUGUCCGGAAUUAUUGGGCGUAAAGAGCUCGUAGGUCGUUUGUUACGUCGGAUGUGAAAACCUGAGGCUCAACCUCAGGCCUGCAUUCGAUACGGGCAAACUAGAGUUUGGUAGGGGAGACUGGAAUUCCUGGUGUAGCGGUGGAAUGCGCAGAUAUCAGGAGGAACACCAAUGGCGAAGGCAGGUCUCUGGGCCAAUACUGACACUGAGGAGCGAAAGUCUGGGGAGCGAACAGGAUUAGAUACCCUGGUAGUCCAGACCGUAAACGGUGGGCACUAGUUGUGGGAACCUUCCACGGUUUCUGCGACGCAGCUAACGCAUUAAGUGCCCCGCCUGGGGAGUACGAUCGCAAGAUUAAAACUUAAAUGAAUUGACGG
rnacentral:rRNA from 1 species